rnacentral:rRNA from 1 species
UAGUCCACGCAGUAAACGAUGAGUGCUAGUUAUCGGGACCUAUGGUUUCGGUGGCGAAGCUAACGCGUUAAGCACUCCGCCUGGGGAGUACGGCCGCAAGGCUAAAACUCAAAGGAAUUGACGGGGACCCGCACAAGCAGUGGAGCAUGUGGUUUAAUUCGAUGCUACGCGAAAAACCUUACCAGCUCUUGUAUCCUGGUCGUGAUUUUCAGAGAUGAAUUUCUUCAGUUCGGCUGGACCAGUGACAGGUGUUGCAUGGCUGUCGUCAGCUCGUGUCGUGAGAUGUUAGGUUAAGUCCUUCAACGAGCGCAACCCUCAUCCUUAUUUGCCAUCAGGUUAUGCUGGGAACUAUAAGGAAACUGCCAACGACAAGUUGGGGAAGGUGGGGAUGAUGUCAAGUCAUCAUGGCCCUUAUGGGCUGGGCUACACACAUGCUACAAUGGUGAUUACAACGGGUUUGCAAAACAGCAAUGUCUAGCUAAUCCUUCAAAAAUCA